rnacentral:rRNA from 1 species
GAUUGAACGCUGGCGGAAUGCUUUACACAUGCAAGUCGAACGGCAGCACGGGGGCAACCCUGGUGGCGAGUGGCGAACGGGUGAGUAACACAUCGGAACGUGCCCAGUCGUGGGGGAUAACUACGCGAAAGCGUAGCUAAUACCGCAUACGAACUCUGGUUGAAAGCGGGGGACUCGCAAGAGCCUCGCGCGAUUGGAGCGGCCGAUGGCA